AUUUUAAUGUGAACAACUGAGUGGCAUUUAGACUUCAUCUCAUAACUUUUGGUUUGUUGAGAGUUGUUCAGUUAACCUUCCAACGUUUGUGAGGAACACCUGAUGCUUUCCCACCCUGAACGGAAUCAAGGGGCUUCCUUGAAUAUGGCUUUCAGUUGGGUUUGGCCGACGAGAAGCACCCCCAGGAGAUCAACGGCAGGAGGAGCACAGAAUCUCUCUAGCUAUCAUAUAAAGGAUACAUUUUAAAAAGAAAAGAAUGGAAGCCGGGGCCCAGUGCAAGGCAGCAAAGAAGAAUGAGUGAAGGAGUGCCCGGAAUGGACAGAAGUAGUAGGAAUGGAUAGAAAGAGUAAAUCAAAAUAAGGACUCUCACUUUUUGGUUGUGUGACUUACCGUGGCGUAACUCAGCAUAGGAAAUAGAAUUGGAAUGAUGACAUCCAAUUCUGCAUCCAGCCUAAAUCCUUUGUCUAGCACAACAUGGAUUCAUUUUGCUGAAUGAGGUGCCAGUCAUCACAGACCAACAUGUGCUACAGUGUGAUAGUGAGAGUCCAAGAAAUACUGCUCUGCACUCUACCUGAGAGAGAUACAGCACUCCUUAUUUGCAAAGUCUGGAGGGAGAACUGCUUUCUGUGAUUCAUUUUAAUUGCUACCUAAAGUCUAUAAAAUUUAAUGGUUGCCAUUUUUCCCUCAAAGUGGUGGUAACGAAUGCAUUACAUGUUCUUAAGACUGUAUAAAUUGAACUUCUAUAAAAACAAAUCAAUAAUUACUUACACACGUUGCUGUUUUUUAGAUCAACCACCAUCAUUAAUAGGGCUUUACUUAUAAAAUCUUAUAAAGUAUAGAUUAAAAGUAUAGCAAAAGUAUAAUCAUUUAGAAAUACAAAACAAGCAUCCUAAUGCAUAAAGAAAAAAUAAAAUAAAAGUAGCAUACUUGUAGUUUAAAAAAAUAGUUUUGGUAAAAUUAAGUAAAUAACUGUCAAGGAAAAUAUCUGAUCCUUACCAUAACAAUCAAUCAAAUGGAAGAGUCAGACAAAUUUACCAAAGUGAGCCAUGAAGCUACUGGUUUUCAUAAUACAUUAAAAAUUUUAAUUUCAUCUUUCUCAGUUUUUACCCAUAUAGUUCACAAAAAUAGAAAAUUUAAUACAUAAAAAGUAUGUAUGCAAGUGUUUGGUUUACAAUCCAUGCAUCUAUAAGGCCAAAGAUGUCAGUACAGUUAAAUUAACCCAUGGGGCGCAGAGGUUAAACACAAGCCCGGGGAAGCGACAGAGACCAAUCGAACCCCUUGCAGCUGAUUUUAUUCUGCUAGUGAAAAUCCAAUGCUCGCGGCUAACAAGCUCUCGGGGAACCUGUUUCUGUACUUUCUCUAGUUGCACUGAGAAUCAGUAUUUCAUCAUGCUUUGAAAAACAUGUAUGCACAUCUUUGAAAUACUAAUUCCUAUGAUUCAUAAUGACCUUGAGUAGAAGGAAAGGGAAAAAUCGCAUUUUUUAAAAUGGUCUUUUUUUUCUGAGGCUGUCGAGGCACGAUUUGUAUUUUCAGCAUCUGGUAACAGAUUAGAGACUCCCUGGAUCUUAAGGAAUUGACUAAUCUUUACUUGUAUUGAAGACUAAAGACAGAUUGCAAAUAAUGGAUAUCCACAGGGUCCUCUGAGCAUCUGCUACAGCGCGCCUCCCACGCGAGCCACUGCUCGGUAAGGACGUUAUGGCCCUUCCGCAGUGUCAAUGUGAUUCUUGGAGAUGGUUGCCUCUUCUCUGUGUUCACCUAACCGGCAGCAUGUGGCUGGGAUUUGAAGGCGCACAGCGGAUUCCCUGAGCCUGCCGUUUCCUCCAGGGCCAUCUCAGGGCCACCAGCCCAGGAAGAGAUGGCAUAGAAGCCGGAGUGUAGGAGGAGCGGCCAAGUGGGCAAAACGAGCGCAGCACAGCCUGAGACAAGGCCGUCGCCAUGCCGGGGCAGAGCCCGGGACCUGGCACCAGUCCUCGGGGCCUAUGCUUACCCUUCUCCCAUCUGGGCUAGCAAAGGAACACCCGGGCGCUCUUCUUUUCCUGUUGAGCUGUGUGCUCUAAAAUCUGCUCUCCUCCCAGGCUGUGCCGCACGGACUAGCCCACUGAAACGUGCCAACCACUUACUAUGUUGUCAUCUCCUGAAUGUGCACAACUUGAACUUUGCACACGGGAUUUAAGAUGCUAGCUCUAGACAAGAGCCGCCCCGUGCUCAUCACACCCCGUCAGCUGACGACUGUGGCUUGACAGAAAAGCUGUUCAGUAGUUGUCACUCUUCCCUGCCAGAAGCCGGUCUGUGCCACCUCCUGCCCUACAUUGACCGUGUGGAGCUGGCUUUAUAACUGCACCGUCAGUAACUCCAGUUACCCCGACCAGCAGUCUCGAUUGGAGAGUGGCCAAACUGAGAUUCUCAGGGAAGAGGCCAAG
rnacentral:lncRNA from 1 species